GAGCCUACGGGACGCAGCAGUGGGGAAUAUUGGGCAAUGGGCGCAAGCCUGACCCAGCAACGCCGCGUGAAGGAAGAAGGCUUUCGGGUUGUAAACUUCUUUUAAGAGGGACGAAGGAAGUGACGGUACCUCUUGAAUAAGCCACGGCCAACUACGUGCCAGCAGCCGCGGUAAUACGUAGGUGGCAAGCGUUAUCCGGAUUUAUUGGGUGUAAAGGGCGUGUAGGCGGGAGCGCAAGUCAGAUGUGAAAACUCAGGGCUCAACCCUGAGCCUGCAUUUGAAACUGUGUUUCUUGAGUGCUGGAG
rnacentral:rRNA from 1 species